rnacentral:rRNA from 1 species
UACGUAGGGGGCUAGCGUUGUCCGGAAUCAUUGGGCGUAAAGCGCGUGUAGGCGGUCCGGUAAGUCCGCUGUGAAAGUCGGGGGCUCAACCCUCGGAUGCCGGUGGAUACUGUCGGGCUUGAGUACGGAAGAGGCGAGUGGAAUUCCUGGUGUAGCGGUGAAAUGCGCAGAUAUCAGGAGGAACACCAAUUGCGAAGGCAGCUCGCUGGGACGUUACUGACGCUGAGGCGCGAAAGCGUGGGUAGCAAACAGG